GACAGAGGUCCCGAGCGUUAGGCGGAAUCACUGGGCUUAAAGCGUGUGUAGGCGGAUUUGUAAGUACCUUGUGAAAUCCCACGGCUCAACCGUGGAACUGCUUGGUAUACUGCUUAUCUUGGGCCACUUAGGGGUUACCGGAACAAACGGUGGAGCGGUGAAGUGCGUAGAUAUCGUUUGGAACGCCAAUGGUGAAAACAGGUAACUGGGAGUGUGCCGACGCUGAGAC
rnacentral:rRNA from 1 species